ACAGGCUCGGGAUCCCUCGCAGCGCUAGGGGCCGCAGCCCCGGUCGCCGGGGAGUGCCAUGGCAGGGAGGCGGCAGCCACGUGAGGGGUCUGCGGAAGCGCCGGAGCUGAAAGCUGGGGGCGAAGCAUUUUAUUAAUGCUUUUACGAGUUAGAAGAGUUGGGAUAAUUUGCCAUCUGGAGUUUCUCUGCCUUGCUGAUCUGAGCUCAGACCUGCCAAUUUACCAGAGAUAAUUGAUAACACCCUGUAACAGCUGAGAGGAAAAUGGAAGAAACGGAGAUACUUUUAGUGAAGCAGAAUAAACCACUGAACAGUCUGUUUCAUCUUCAUAAAAACGCUGCUUUCAGUGCACUGGAUUUAUUUUACAACCCACUAAUGGAUUACCCUACAGUUUGAAAAACAUUGCGUUAGACCAGUUUGACUGUUGUCAAGAACCAAAAAAGAUGGAGUUUCACUCUUCC
rnacentral:lncRNA from 10 species